ACGCUCGACACCUACGGGAUGCAGCAGUGAGGAAUAUUGGUCAAUGGGCGCUAGCCUGAACCAGCCAAGUAGCGUGAAGGAUGAAGGCUCUAUGGGUCGUAAACUUCUUUUAUAUAAGAAUAAAGUGCAGUAUGUAUACUGUUUUGUAUGUAUUAUAUGAAUAAGGAUCGGCUAACUCCGUUCCAGCAGCCGCGGUAAUCUGAGCGGGCGUGGCAAGGC
rnacentral:rRNA from 1 species